GCAUCAGUGGUUUAGUGGUAAAAUCCAUCGUUGCCAUUCUGUAGGGUCUCCUACAGCAGAGUCGAUGGGCCCCGCGUUCGAUUCGCGGCUGAUGCA